GGAGCAGGUCGGGCGAUCGCGCCCGUCCCUCAGGCUGAGGGACGGGUGAGGAAAGUCCGAACUCCUCGGGCCAGGGUGCUGGGUAACGCCCAGGCGGGGUAACCCGACGGAAAGUGCCACAGAGAACAGACCGCCGAAGGCCCCGAAAGGGGCCAGGCAAGGGUGAAACGGUGGUGUAAGAGACCACCAGCGGCCGUGGAGACACGGUCGGCUAGGUAAACCCCACCCGGAGCAAGGCCAAAUAGGGGAGCAUGGGAUGGCCCGCCCGAAGCUCCCGGGUAUGGCCGCUUGAGGCCAGCGGCAACGCUGGUCCCAGAUGAAUGAUCGCCGCCCCGCGCCGGGCGACCGACGCGGGGAACAGAAUUCGGCUUAUAGACCUGCUCCGGUG
rnacentral:RNase_P_RNA from 1 species